rnacentral:tmRNA from 3 species
GGGGAUGCCAGGCAUCGAUAGUAAGAUUAUUUUUUGUAAUACUCAAAACGUGAUGAGCUCUCACGUUAAAUAGGCUUAAAACAUAAGUGUAAAAAACACUUUAAGCAAAGCUGCUUUCUCAUGGAAAGUUCCAGUUUUUGCUCCCGUUGUCGCUUAACAAUAACCGACAGCCAUCGGGCCAGCGAGUCUUCAUAGCUGUUACCCGGUGUCAUUAAUGAAGAUAGGUUUGGGGGCCGCCCUAGUUUUCAAACCAAAAGCUUUAGGGCUAGCGGGAGCCGAUUUUGUUUAGUUUUUACGGUAUCCGGCGAAAUCAUAAACUAGACUAAUUUUGUACAAGUAUUACCGAAAACUUAUUAGACGUGGGUUCGACUCCCACCAUCUCCACAC